rnacentral:rRNA from 1 species
UUCCAGACUCCUACGGGAGGCAGCAGUGAGGAAUAUUGGUCAAUGGACGCAAGUCUGAACCAGCCAAGUAGCGUGCAGGAUGACGGCCCUCCGGGUUGUAAACUGCUUUUAGUUGGGAAUAAAAGGGGGCUCGUGAGCCCCGUAUUGUAUGUACCAUCAGAAAAAGGACCGGCUAACUCCGUGCCAGCAGCCGCGGUAAUACGGAGGGUGCGAGCGUUAAUCGGAAUUACUGGGCGUAAAGCGCUCGUAGGCGGUAUGUCAAGUCAAGGGUGAAAUCCCCGCGCUCAACGUGGGAACUGCCUUUGAAACUGGCAAACUGGAGUGUGUGAGAGGAUAGUGGAAUUCCAGGUGUAGGAGUGAAAUCCGUAGAUAUCUGGAGGAACAUCAGUGGCGAAGGCGACUAUCUGGCACAUAACUGACGCUGAGGAGCGAAAGCGUGGGUAGCAAACAGGAUUAGAUACCCGGGUA